rnacentral:rRNA from 1 species
CUAGCCCUAAACGUUGCUCGCUCGCUUUACGGAGUAUCGACCCUCUGUGAGGCUAAGCUAACGCGGUAAGCGAGCCGCCUGGGUAGUACGAUCGCAAGAUUAAAACUCAAAGGAAUAGACGGGGACUUGCACAAGCGGUGGAUCAUGUGGCUUAAUUCGUCGAUAAGCGAAGAACCUUACCCGGGCUAGAAAUCAAGCUGCAUACUUUUCGAAAGAUUAGUAGCCUUAGAGGGUGCUUGACAGGUGA